rnacentral:tRNA from 1 species
GGGUAUGGCUCAGUGGUAGAGUGCGUGCUUAGCAUGCACAAGGCCCUGGGUUCAAUCCCCAGUGCCUCCA